GUGCCAGCCGCCGCGGUAAUACGGGGGGGGCAAGCGUUGUUCGGAAUUACUGGGCGUAAAGGGUGCGUAGGCGGCUCUCUAAGUCGGAUGUGAAAACUCUGGGCUCAACCCAGAGCCUGCAUCUGAAACUGGAGGGCUAGGGUUCUGGAGGGGAAAGCGGAAUUCCUGGUGUAGCGGUGAAAUGCGUAGAUAUCAGGAGGAACACCGGUGGCGAAGGCGGCUUUCUGGACAGAUACCGACGCUGAGGCACGAAAGCUAGGGGAGCAAACAGGAUUAGAUACCCGCGUAGUCC
rnacentral:rRNA from 1 species